rnacentral:tRNA from 1 species
GCAUUGGUUGUUCAGUGGUAGAAUUCUCACCUUCCAUGCCGGAGACCCAGGUUUGAUUCCAGGUCAAUGUA